CCUACGGGGGACUGCAGUCGAGAAUCAUUCACAAUGGGGGAAACCCUGAUGGUGCGACGCCGCGUGGGGGAAUGAAGGUCUUCGGAUUGUAAACCCCUGUCAUGUGGGAGCAAAUUAACAAGAUAGUACCACAAGAGGAAGAGACGGCUAACUCUGUGCCAGCAGCCGCGGUAAUACAGAGGUCUCAAGCGUUGUUCGGAAACACUGGGCGUAAGGCGUGCGUAGGCUGUUUCGUAAGUCGUGUGUGAAAGGCGCGGGCUCAACCCGCGGACGGCACAUGAUACUGCGAGACUAGAGUAAUGGAGGGGGAACCGGAAUUCUCGGUGUAGCAGUGAAAUGCGUAGAUAUCGAGAGGAACACUCGUGGCGAAGGCGGGUUCCUGGACAUUAACUGACGCUGAGGCACGAAGGCCAGGGGAGCGAAAGGGAUUAGAUACCCUUGUAGUC
rnacentral:rRNA from 1 species